rnacentral:rRNA from 1 species
UACGUAGGGUGCAAGCGUUGUCCGGAAUUAUUGGGCGUAAAGAGCUCGUAGGCGGUCUGUCGCGUCGGCUGUGAAAUCCCGAGGCUCAACCUCGGGUCUGCAGUCGAUACGGGCAAACUAGAGUAUUGCAGGGGAGACUGGAAUUUCCUGGUGUAGCGGUGAAAUGCGCAGAUAUCAGGAGGAACACCGGUGGCGAAGGCGGGUCUCUGGGCAAUAACUGACGCUGGAGGAGCGAAAGCGUGGGGAGCGAACAGG